rnacentral:rRNA from 1 species
UACGUAGGGUGCGAGCGUUAAUCGGAAUUACUGGGCGUAAAGCGUGCGCAGGCGGCGCGUUAAGACAGGUGUGAAAGCCCCGAGCUUAACUUGGGAAUUGCGCUUGUGACUGCAUGGCUAGAGUGUGUCAGAGGGGGGUAGAAUUCCACGUGUAGCAGUGAAAUGCGUAGAUAUGUGGAGGAAUACCGAUGGCGAAGGCAGCCCCCUGGGAUAACACUGACGCUCAUGCACGAAAGCGUGGGGAGCAAACAGG